UACGAAGGGGGCUAGCGUUGCUCGGAAUCACUGGGCGUAAAGGGUGCGUAGGCGGGGCUUUAAGUCAGGGGUGAAAUCCUGGAGCUCAACUCCAGAACUGCCUUUGAUACUGAGGAUCUUGAGUUCGGGAGAGGUGAGUGGAACUGCGAGUGUAGAGGUGAAAUUCGUAGAUAUUCGCAAGAACACCAGUGGCGAAGGCGGCUCACUGGCCCGAUACUGACGCCGAGGCACGAAAGCGUGGGGAGCAAACAGG
rnacentral:rRNA from 1 species